AUUGAACGCUGGCGGCAUGCUUUACACAUGCAAGUCGAACGGCAGCGCGGGCUUCGGCCUGGCGGCGAGUGGCGAACGGGUGAGUAAUGCAUCGGAACGUGCCCAGUAGUGGGGGAUAGCCUGGCGAAAGCCGGACUAAUACCGCAUACGACCUGAGGGUGAAAGCGGGGGACCGAAAGGCCUCGCGCUAUUGGAGCGGCCGAUGUCGGAUUAGCUAGUUGGUGGGGUAAAGGCUUACCAAGGCGACGAUCCGUAGCUGGUCUGAGAGGCCGACCAGCCACACUGGAACUGAGACACGGCCCAGACUCCUACGGGAGGCAGCAGUGGGGAAUUUUGGACAAUGGGGGCAACCCUGAUCCAGCCAUGCCGCGUGCGGGAAGAAGGCCUUCGGGUUGUAAACCGCUUUUGUUCGGGAAGAAAUCCUCUGGGCUAAUACCCCGGGGGGAUGACGGUACCGGAAGAAUAAGCACCGGCUAACUACGUG
rnacentral:rRNA from 1 species